CACUGAUAAGGGCUCAGACAGGCAGACAGCAGACAGCAACAGUGCGUAGGACGUGGGAUCACAUUAGGCACCUACACAGAUGACGCAGCUGUUUUGAUUUUUGUAUUCUCUUGAGGGAGCUGGCCUGAGUUGAGGGGUCGCCUUCAUGUUGCUGACCGGAGCCGGAUUGUGUUCAACUGUGUUGAACAGUAUCUCAGACUGUUUUCCACAGGGUCGGGCCGGUGAUGUUCUCGCUCAUUCCCCUGCCGUCCCCGAGUGGAGAGGAAGUCCCAAGAAAGGAGCAGGUUAUGCAUCCAGCCACACAAGGAGGAGACUGGUGACCUUUCCAAUGUCCCAAAACCACCAGAUGGGUCAUUUCCAAUUCCUCCUGUUUCAAUUUACCCACUGGCUUGUGGCUGAGAAUACCCUGGACUCACGGCAGGGCUGGAAAGAAGAACCCAAAAAUCUCCAUAGUUACUUCACGAAGAGAAUAACAGGUGAGGGUUGAAGGAGGCAAAAACGAUUUGAUUUGCAUAUAAGCUGCCAGAUUCAGGAGUCACACAAGAAAAGCAUCAACUGCCAUGCAAAUGAGAAACAAAUGACAUUCAAAAAAGGGCUGAGGUAAAGGAGUGGUCAGAGAGGCUAGAGCACAGGAGGGGUUUUGCCUAUGCAGCACUAAUGGUAACAUCAUCUCUCCUGCCAUUCGUCCAUACAGCCGUAUGUGCUUCUGACUCCAGGCUGAAAGGUCUGUCAAGUUUUCUCCGCACCAGCAACAGCAGCUCGCUGUGGAAGGACAAACCAUGACAUCAGAAUAGUGGACGCAGCCAUGAAGACAAUAGUUCUCUGUGCAGGAGAAGAGCCGAGGCGUGGCCUGGCCGUACAGAGGCUCCUGUCAGUGGAGCAGCGGGCCUCAGCAGCUGUCUCAACCUCUGUCUGUAUCUCUGUCACAUACACUCGUUCAAUCCAUCAUGAAAGCUGACAUGGCAUUAGAACAAAGGUUCAACCGAUUUAUGUUAAAAUCCCUUUACCCCUAUGUAUCACUCCUCUCAAUCUCCCAGUGUGUUUGUUUGUGUGUGUGUGUGUGUGUGUGUGUGUGUGUGUGUGUGUGAAAGAGCUUCUCUCUGUUCAUGCUCAGUACCAGCUAAGGAACGCAGGACGGAGGAGGAGUAGGAGGGAAGCCCCAGAGAAAGAAACAUAGCAAACUGGCAAAACAAAGAACCAAUGGACAAAGUGGCCCCCACUGACAGGAGGUCUGGAGUGAUAGUAGCAUAGAUAAAUAUAUGUGUGUGUGUGUGUGCAUAUGUAAACACAUUACACAAAACAUGCAGCCUGCCCAUAGCGCUCCAUUUACUCUGUUUUUAUUUGUCUUCUCACAUUUGCCUGAGGAGAUAGAAAAAGGCUUUCAGGACAUGUAGCCGCUGUGCGUCUUGUGCCAGAUAAUCUAAGCCCCUCCGGUGGCGAGCCUUCGUCUUCAAACAACCGUAAAGGUUUACAGGCCGUGACAGAAAGGAGCGAAGAAGCUCACCACGCAGCUGAAUUUCACACGGGAGAGGAGAGGGCUGUGCGUGAUGGAGUGGAGCCGCUGGAGCCUCACAGACACACAGUCCCUCAGGGACGCACCACCUGGGUUGUCAAAAGGAGUCUGGCCGGGGCCUUCAAAAAACAAAACAGCUCAAUACGGGAUAUACAAACAGCGGUUGAGCAUCAUUGAGCGUGUAUGAGCGGCGUGUAUCAACACAAAACCCACCUGCCCUUCAGUGGAAGUCUAAUGACAACAAAUGCAACAAAGGCCCUGUGUGGUACGCCCAGCCUCGAGGGGCCGCCACAGCCGUCUAUGUAGCCUGCAUUCACCUGUGAGACGGAUUCAGUGGGUUAUUAAAAGCUCUCAUACACAUGGGUUGAUGGCAUUAUGAAUUUGCAUUGAGGACGCUGGCUUGAAGGGGGGGGGAGGGUACAUGAUGAUGGGGCCAUUGUUGUCUGUCUCUAUGGAGGCUCUUUUUUUUAAAUGUUUAAUUAGUCGACCAUUAUUCUGAAAACAUAGUUGUUUUAUAUGCAUGUAUUAUAUUGAACUGUCUUGUCAUUACAGGGUGUACUGUGUACACACACAGAUUCAACACACAGAUAAAGGGAAAAGGGAUUUUCUGGUUAUGUUCUUCCUUUUGAUAAAUCGUUGAAUGGCUUGCAAAAUUACAAACGUGAUGUAAAAAGCUAAAUGUACAAUAAGCCGAUCUUUAUGUGUGUUAUGUGUAAACUCUAUUUGUAUAGCCCAUAUUUACAAAUCACAGUUGUAUUGUCUCACAGGGCUUAACAAUCUCUACAACGUCAAUGUCAAUGUCAAUUUUAUUUAUAUAGCACAUUUGAAAACAACUUGGUUGACCAAAAGGCUUUACAGGUGUAAUAGUACGACAAAGAGACAUGUGACAGCCUCUUUUCUUAAGCCUUGACUAUAGAGUGAAGAAGAACUACAGAAACAGCGCUUUUAACAGAGGUGAAUAAAACCUCAGGGAGAGUCACAAGUGAGGGAGUCCUCUCCCAGGACCGACCGAAGUGCAACAGAUGGUGUUUGUAAUAGAGCACGGCAACAAAAUAACAACAUUUACAACAUUGAUAGGAAAUGAGAAGUGUCUUGCAUUAAUGGAGAGGUGAAUCAAUGUUUAAAGUAAUAAUGCAAAAGCAACCAUCCGAGAGAGGUGAAGGGAGCAGCAAUGAUAAUUGUAUUAAUGGUAUUUCCAGUGGACAGGACUAUGUAUAUCUAAGCAAUCUGUAGUUGUAGUGUGUAAUCAUAAUCCACGAUCACAUCCCACAAUGUGUAUCCUGGAUCUGUAACAUUAAUGCACAAGGUCUCUGGAUGAGGUUAGGUCAGUGAUAUGUAUUGAUGAGACAUUGAUGUGAUGAAGAGGAAGAGGAGGAAAAAGAAGCUCCAUGUGUCACAUGUCCCCGGCCACCUAGGCCCAUAGCAGAAGAACACAUUCAUGUAGCAUUUCUAAAUGCCACUCUUUAUCACACACUGUCUGUACUUUAGUUCAGUAUCUUCCCCAAAGACAGGGAUCGAGCUUCCGACGUUCUGGUCAGUGGACGACCCGCUCUGACUCCUGAGCCACAGCUACCUCAGGCUGUGCAUGGUCCAGUACUGUGCUGUUUUUUCCCCAGAGGGCUGCACAGCCUUUGUAAAACUGAUUUAAAAUAUCAGUACCACUAACAUGACCAUAACAAGACUGAAGUCUCUAGAAUGGAUUUACAAGUGUUUCUACUGGUAGGAAAUCAAAUCAUAAAAUAAUUGUUAUGUGUUUUAAUAAAAGUGAUGUGUCUGAUUGUUGUGUUGGUGGUCUGUUGAUAUCUGUGCUGGUGUCACUGGGCAGGAUGAACUGGGUGACCCCCGCAAACAGCUGCACGGUGUGAGACACACAGUCUCCUGCUUUUUCCUGGGAUCAAGAUCAGUUAGGACAUGUUCAAGACUGGACACACACAGGCGCUCUGGGGAGGUAGCACCACUCAAACACAGGCUCUUUGCUGUGUCAAUGUUGAAGGGUCCGAGCAGUCAGAAGACAAUGACUGCCACCUAGUGGUGCGUCUGUAAAGUGCAAAGCUUUCCAGCGUUAGAGUGGGGUCAUGUUUUGUAAAUCUCCACCGAGGAGGGAUUUGUUUAUUUGUGAGCAGGUGUACAUAAAAAGUGCUGCACUGAUUUGAUUAAAACUUGGUUAUAAUUUAUUUUGGGAAUUUGACAAGAAAUAACUUAAAGAUUAUUGAAAAAAAAUAUCUGUGAGUGUGUGCAAUUUGGUGCAUGGUGAUUAGAUGUAAGGGGAUGUUGGGCCUUGUGGGAGGGAUCUGUUCUACUGAGUAUCAUUCUAUCUGUUUUUUCAGAAAGAAAGAAACAUUUCCAUCCCUCUCAGAAUAUUGAGUAAUUUCUUAGCGUUAUUUUUCAUCUUGUCACAUUAUAUGCUGCAAGUUAUGUGUGAAGUUUAAGUUAAUAGUAUUUCAUAUAAAUAAAUGUCAACAGGUUACAAAUACAUAAGGCAGUUGCUCACUAAUUGACCCAAUGGUCCCUUCCUUUUGUUACAGUGAUGUAACCAUAAUACUAACUCUGUAAUAACUAACUAAAAAACUCAAUUUGUACAUUAUUUAAGCUUUUUUUCCUCAAUAUCACUAUGCCUUCACUUUCUUUCAUUUGUAUUCUAUUAUUUUUUUUUCUGCUGCCUUUUUAUAUUUGUACACUCUUGUCUACCUCAUUCUGACUUGUCUGCUGAGGGACCAAGGGAAUAUACCUAGUGUGGGAAAAAUAAAGAUUUUAAUUAUCUUAACAAAUGGUCUACAUGAUUGUUGACAGCUACAGGAAGUUGUGUUCUUGGUUACUGACAGGUCAUUAUUAAUAGUACAUGUUUUCAAUGUAGAUAGGCUAUGCAGUGCAGCAGAGUAAUUAAAGCAUUGAUACAU